rnacentral:lncRNA from 1 species
ACAUUUGCUGGUCGCUGGAAGAUCGAAAGACUGGACAAAAUCCAUAUGGCGGCCGGCCGGCGCGGUGGCUCUCGCCUGUGAUCCCGCGCUUUGGGAGGCCGAGGCGGGAGGUUCUUCUGAGCUGAAGAGUUCGAGACCAGCCCGGGAAACGUAGUGAGACCCCCACCAUCUCUACAAAUAAUAACAAACAAACAAAAGGUCCCCCCGCCCCGCCGGCCGCGGGUUGCCGUCGCACCCAGGCACAUUUGAAGGGCGGCAGGAGCCAAGGCCUGGCUGUCACUGCUGUCCCGGACCCCUUUGACGGCCCCUGGGGGUUCACCAGAGGGCUGGCCCGUGGCUCACUGCCCAGUCCUCUAUGAGGACACUUCGCCAUAGACAUUUUGUUAUUGCAGACUGCUCUGGGAACACCCCUGACUGGGCCCUAAAAUGAAUUCCAGAAAAGGAAUCGCAGGUCAAGGGGCGGUUCUAAAAGGCUUGGGCUAGGGUCAGCCAGAGCUCUGUGCAGCAGAUGGGGGCCUGGAAAAGUCUGCAGAAGUGGCCUUCCGCCCAGGCCCUGCCUCCCCCGACGGGGGCACGUUGUCCUGAGUGCAGAGCUGCUUCUAGGAGGGAGUAGGGGUCCUGUGUCCCCUCCUGCGAACCAAGGCAUAAUGAGAACUGGAUGACUUGGGCCCACUUUUGGGUCUGGUGAGCAGCCUGGGCAGGAGACUGGAGGAGGUGCUGCUGGAGGAUGGGCAGAACAGGGAAGCGGGAGUGGCGUUCUGUCUCAGCAACACCAUUCCCAGCUGGCUCCUCUGUGGAGUGUGUGUGCAGGGGAGCGGGGGCAGGGGACACGGAUUUUCUUCCUCCAGCUCUUAGCUCUCAGGACCAGAGCUUGGAGAGGAACAGAGACCCCCCUACCCAGCCUAGGGUUUAGCCUGCGCCCGAACCCAAGCCAGUUAGCAAUGACCCUAGGGCACCCUCCCCAGUCACUCAGCCACUCCAGCCUGGUAAGAUGAGGUGGCCAGGCUCCUGCAGAGCGAGCUCCCCUCUGGAGCCCUGGCAGCCUGUAG